GACGAACGCUGGCGGCGUGCUUAACACAUGCAAGUCGAGCGAUGAAACACCUUCGGGUGCGGAUUAGCGGCGAACGGGUGAGGAACACGUGAGGAAUCUGCCUUCCACUCUGGGAUAACUCCGGGAAACCGGGGCUAAUACCGGAUACUUUCAACUGGCGGCAUCGCCGGUUGAAGAAAGUUUUUCGGUGGAAGAUGACCUCGCGGCCUAUCAGCUUGGUGGUGAGGUAAAGGCUCACCAAGGCGACGACGGGUAGCCGGCCUGAGAGGGCGACCGGCCACACUGGGACUGAGACACGGCCCAGACUCCUACGGGAGGCAGCAGUGGGGAAUAUUGGGCAAUGGAGGAAACUCUGACCCAGCGACGCCGCGUGAGGGAUGAAGGCCUUCGGGUUGUAAACCUCUUUCAGCAGGGAAUAAGCGAAAGUGAAGGUACCUGCAGAAGAAGCACCGGCUAACUAUGUGCCAGCCGCCGCGGUAC
rnacentral:rRNA from 1 species